rnacentral:rRNA from 3 species
UCUCCGUUGGUGAACCAGCGGAGGGAUCAUUACCGAGUUUACAACUCCCAAACCCCUGUGAACAUACCUAUUUGUUGCCUCGGCGGUGCCUGUUCCGACAGCCCGCCAGAGGACCCCAAACCCUGAUUACAUUUAAGAAGUCUUCUGAGUAAACCGAUUAAAUAAAUCAAAACUUUCAACAACGGAUCUCUUGGUUCUGGCAUCGAUGAAGAACGCAGCGAAAUGCGAUAAGUAAUGUGAAUUGCAGAAUUCAGUGAAUCAUCGAAUCUUUGAACGCACAUUGCGCCCGCUAGUAUUCUGGCGGGCAUGCCUGUCCGAGCGUCAUUUCAACCCUCAAGCCCCCGGGCUUGGUGUUGGGGAUCGGCGAGCCUCCGCGCCCGCCGUCCCCUAAAUCUAGUGGCGGUCUCGCUGUAGCUUCCUCUGCGUAGUAGCACACCUCGCACUGGGAAACAGCGCGGCCACGCCGUUAAACCCCCAACUUCUGAACGUUUGACCUCGGAUCAGGUAGGAAUACCCGCUGAACUUAA